CGUUAAGGGCGUGUUAAUGAUUCCAAAGUAUGAAUCGCAUUAUCCAGUUUGUCUGGAUGUCGAGUGGCUCCUGCCCACUCUGUUUGACGCCUCCCUGUUGACCUUCGAGCCGCCUUUGGCGGCUCUUUUUUU
rnacentral:sRNA from 1 species